GCAAUAGCCUAGUGGUUAGAGCGUCCGCCUCGGAUCAGGAAGGUCGUGGGUUCGAUUCCCGGUUGAAUCA